rnacentral:rRNA from 1 species
GUGGGGAAUUUUGGACAAUGGGCGCAAGCCUGAUCCAGCAAUGCCGCGUGCAGGAAGAAGGCCUUCGGGUUGUAAACUGCUUUUGUCAGGGAAGAAAUCUUCUGGGCUAAUACCCCGGGAGGAUGACGGUACCUGAAGAAUAAGCACCGGCUAACUACGUGCCAGCAGCCGCGGUAAUACGUAGGGUGCGAGCGUUAAUCGGAAUUACUGGGCGUAAAGCGUGCGCAGGCGGCUUUGCAAGACAGAUGUGAAAUCCCCGGGCUCAACCUGGGAACUGCAUGUGUGACUGCAAGGCUAGAGUACGGCAGAGGGGGAUGGAAUUCCGCGUGUAGCAGUGAAAUGCGUAGAUAUGCGGAGGAACACCAAUGGCGAAGGCAAUCCCCUGGGCCUGCACUGACGCUCAUGCACGAAAGCGUGGGGAGCAAACAGGAUUAGAUACCCGAGUAGUCC